AUGUUACUGUACCAAUUUCAAGUCAAGCGUCGCGGUGUUCGAAACCGUAAUCAGAGCACAUGGAGAACCCUUCCGUUCAACCAACCACAGCCCUCCAAACGCCCAGAUUUCGUGACCAUCGGUCAGAAGCAACCACCACCGAUCUCCAACGAAGGCUUAACCAUCACCGCCCUGCUCCCUGCCUCCCUCGUCACUGAUCUGUCACAGCUGCGACCACCGCUUGAAGCUGCACCAGACGCGAGUCACACCACCAAUCCGCAUGUAACAACAACUCCUCCACUGUGA